UACGGAGCUACCAAGCGUUGGUCGGAAUUACUGGGCGUAAAGGGGGCGCAGGCGGCCUGGUCAGUGGAAAGUGGAAGCCCGGGGCUCAACCUCGGAAGGCCUUUCCAUACUGCCUGGCUUGAGUUCGUGAGAGGGAAGCGGAAUUCAGGGUGUAGCGGUGAAAUGCUUAGAUAUCCUGAGGAACACCGAUGGCGAAAGCAGCUUCCUGGCACGGUACUGACGCUCAUGCCCGAAAGCGUGGGGAGCGAACAGG
rnacentral:rRNA from 1 species